CAAGGUGGUGGUGCCUAUAGUUCCAACUUUUUGGGAAGCUGAGGCAGGAGCAUCGCUUGAACCCAGGAGGUGUAGGUUUCAUUGACCUCACUUGCUGCAGCAUCUGCGGCUGAUGCCUACAGUCCUUCCCCGGCCUCUGGCUUGUAUAGCCAGGGCCACCUCUGCCAAGUGUCCCCUCAUGCAUGCUGAGAAGUCACUGCUGGUGCUCUGAGCCUCCCCCAGUCCCUUCUGAUGCUCUACAGGGAGCUGAGGGACACUGGCUCUGGCCAUACCCAGUGCGAUUUCCACAUGAUG
rnacentral:lncRNA from 10 species